CGCCCACACCUGCUGCACUUUAGCGUCUGAUUUGCCAUAAUACUCAAGAUUUAGAAAAUAAGGGGAAUUAACAGCGGGAGUUCGUGACAAACAUUAGAAGCGCAAAAUUCUACCUCAGUGUCAGGUUAUCGCUGGGAAUGUUAGGCGAUUUUCCUUUCUGUUUAUAUGAGCUGCUAUUGACGUGGGUGAACCAAGCGGAGACCCGCUCCGUGGACCGGAGCUCACAUUCACUCACUGAACAAAUCGAGCAUUGAGCGUGGACUCUAUCGCACACGCCGUGUAAGCCGAGAGCGCUUUGUGUCUUUCAUUCAUCCCGGUGAAGGCUGCCGCUUCCCCUCACACUUUCAGCUCGUCCUCCUCCUCUUCUUCCUUCCCCUCUUCCCCUCUUCCCUCACGCCGGGAGAGAACUACUCUCCGUCUGUGGCUUUACGGUCCGAGUUAAGUGGAUAAUAGCAACAGAGCUCGGUGCUCCUCUUACCUCCUGCGCGGUACCGCGGACCAGAUAAGUCGCCGGGGGACAAGCGCAUCACGACGUAAAGCAGCGGAAAAAGGAGUUAGUUAUUUUUAUUUUUCAUUUUCUCAGAGCACACGACGGGGUUUAAAGCGAGAUAUACGAUAGAAAUAUUUAUCUGGAUGAAGCGGAGUCUCCCUGAGUUCUGACGGAUUUUAAGGAACAGGUGCGAUACAGGAAUACAGACAGGACAGCUGGCGGAUGGUUGUCGGUUUCGAGGAGAGAAGUCUCUGCCUCUGCGCAAGGAUCAGAUGAAGAUGAAGUCUGCGGGCGUCGUGGAUGGAGGUUUAUUCACAGAGAGCUAUUGCAACAUCUGCAAUGCUCAGCUCAUCUCCGAGUCCCAGCGCACCGCUCACUAUGAGAGUAAGAAACACGCUAACAAGGUGCGUCUGUUCUACAUGCUUCAUCCUGAAGAUGGAGGACCACCUUCCAAAAGGCUGAGGCCAGAUAAUCCAGACUGUGCAGAAACAGAAGUAGACAGAAACAAGUGUUGUACCUUGUGCAACAUGUUCUUCACCUCCGCCAUUGUGGCCCAGUCCCACUACCAAGGGAAAACCCAUGCCAAGAGAGUGCGCCUAGUGCUUGGGGAACCACCAAACCUACCCACAGCCAUAACCAGCCCUAGAAACACAGAUUCCUCACCUUCCACCCCGCUACCCACAGAUCCCAACGCUUCCCCUGCCUUACCCUGGCCAACGCCAGAGCUCAGUGGAAACGGUGGCAGAGAGGCUGGGAAGUACUGCUGCCUGUGCGGAGCCUGGUUCAACAACCCUCUGAUGGCCCAGCAGCACUACGAGGGGAAGAAACAUCGCAGAAAUGCUGCCAGGGCCCGCCUCCUGGAGCAGCUAGCAGGCAGUCUGGAUGCCACAGAGAGCACAGGUCAGCCUCCAGAGUCCCCACUCAACUUGUUGACAACCGUGGCUUGUGAGGGCGUUACAAUGAACGAGGUUAAGGCUGCGCAGUAGUUACUCUUGCAGCGUCUGCAGUGUGGUCCUUAACUCCAUCGAACAGUACCAUGCACAUCUCCAGGGCUCCAAGCACCAGAACAACCUAAAGCAACACCAGCAGUAAGUCAGACCACACGGGAUAGAAGAAGCAACGAAGACAGAUUGGGAUAAACAACUCCAGAAAAAAAGAAAAAAAGGACUUGGUGCCAGAAAGUAGUGCAGAUUAACCGCAGAGUCUAUGCUUGCGUGUGGGGGUGCGUGCGUGUGCGUGUGUGUAUAGGUGUGUGUCGUGGGCAUCUAUGCACAUAUCUAAAGUGAGUGCAUGUAGGGAAUAAAGGUGUGUUCAUUUCAGUAUUCGAGGUAUUUUCAGCACAUUGUGUUUGAUUGUUGAACGGUCUGAACGAUCGUCAGAAGACUGAGGAUUACCACAUAGCUCCUCUGUGAACCACAAUCAGAAAUUAAAUUGAUGUCACUGCAUUACCCAGACUGGUAAUAAUCAUUAAGUUGAUCGCCACAGAACAGGAGUACUAAUAACUCUGUGACUAGCGGUGACCCAGGUGUUCUGACAGUGAUCUGAGUCUGGAUACCAUCCUUUAUGUCUUUGUGUUUCUAAUGCAGUGCCUUGCAAAAGUAUUCAUACGCUUUGAACCAUUUCAGAUUUUCUUACAUUAAAACCACAAUCACAAAAGCAUUUAUGACAAGUUGAAUAUAAUGUUGUGAGUUGGAAGAUCUAAAAACUCUGACAUCUUUUUCUUCAGCUCCAGUGACUCUAUACCUUCAUCUUCAGUAACUACUUCAGGUCCUAUGGGCCAUGUCACUAUCUGCUGCGAACAUCCAGAGGGGAAACCUUUACUCAAUUUUCUUUUCAAACUAGCUCAAGCUUAGUCAGAUUUGAUGGGAUGAAAUUGAACGUCAUAUUCAGUCCUAUAUUAGAAAAUGUGUUCUGAUGUGUAUCUGUUGAAAAUAACAUUGGAGCUUUGAACAUACUUUUCAUUAAGUCCACAUUUCUGUAUUAAAAAUGUUUUUUCUAUUGGUCUAAAAUAUGUUUUAAUUAGUUGAAAUCACACAAAAAACCUGAAAAUUAAUAGAAAUAAAAGCUUGGGAACAUCAGCAUGUGUGUUAAUAAUCUACUUUCUUAGUUAAAGUUACUACUACGUACUAAAGUUUGCUACUGAAGAAAAUUAACUUAAAAAUGUUUUGAUUUAUUGGAUAUGGCUGCAUAAGUCUUGACACAGGUACAGUCUGUAUGUAUAUGUGCAUGCCACACUUCUCAGUUUUAUUUGCAAACAAUUUUAAAAGCCAUCCAUUGUUUUUCUUCUACUUCACAAUUGUGCAGUACUUUGUACAGAUUAAUCAUAUUAAACCUCGAUAAAAAUGCAUCGAAUGUUACAGUUCUGACAUGACAAAAUACGAGAAGCUUGAACGUGUACGUCUGCUUUUGCAAGGUAUUGUAAUGCAGCGAUGAGUUUGAUGAUGGUCAGGCUGGAUGCACGGUUCACUUUCAGACCACUUGAAACUUACUCAGGUCCAGACUUUAAAGUCUAAGAGCAAGAAAAUCCCCUGUGACCUCAGCCACCACUGACUGCAUGACUUGUCACAGCUUCAAACAAAGAAAUGUUUUUGUUUUGAACAUAGCCUGUCAGUGUGGUGGAUUGGUCUGUUUUCAAUAUAUGUCUCCCUCCUAAUCAGAAUCUGGAGAAAAAGGGUAAACGAGCAAAGAGACUCUGAGUUUUACUGUUGUUGAGAGUCUGUGAAUCAUCAACUGUUGAAAACAUUCCCGCUGCACUAAGUAUUGAUGUCAAAUGCAGGUUGGAGGUGACAGAAGCUCUCUCUGUAAAGGGCAACAUGUAGAUAAUAUUUCUAUAUUUUUUUUGGUUGCUAUAGCCAGAGGAAAACAAGCUUCCCUCCCUAUUUAUGUAGCACCUAAUACAACUGGGAUUGUUUUCGGUGCAUGCAACCAUUGCAUUGAUUUGACUUUUUUCAAGCCUACGUAUUGCGUGUUUUGACUGUAGUGCUGCUUUUUAGGAAUCGCUUUGUAAUGCAUUACAGCACAUGCUUACAAUGGAAUUUAAAGGUCACUUUCAGAAGUGAUUUAUUCGUCCAACAAAGAAAAGCAGUUUGAUACUUAGAUAUUAGACCUGUCACUGCAGCGUAAUGGCCUUGUGUUGUUUCUUCUGCCUGAGUUUUAAUAGAGGAUUUGAAGCUUCUUUCAGUGAACAAAGAUGGGAUGUAAAAGCAAGGAGAAUAGUAGUCACUCUUAUUUUUCUAUCAGCUUAUGGAAGAACAAAGAAGAAAUAUCCUGUUCUGUCACAGUUCCAGGGAAACGUUUACAUACACUCAUCAUUGCCAUCUUUUCCCCUUUUUAAGUCUAUAUUUAAGCUGGCUUGAUCAAACUGAAUUAACGGUACACGCGUGAACAAAUUUACUGUUUAUUGUGGAUUUUAUUAGAUCCAAAUAUUGACAGGUUCAAAAGUGUUCAUUUGAUCUCAUAAAUAUUUGGUCAUAUUUCAGUUAGAAUAUUGCACUUCGAGGAGAUCCUCUUUCUAGCCACCAACAAACUUCUUGCGUAAUUCUCCUUUGAUGUUGGGCGUUUGAUUGUCACAGAAUUUUUGGAUCAGCUUGAAAAACAGUCAAAUAGACUGAAUAAAAUGGACUGUUCGUCUGUUUUAUCCACCUCAAGGCCAGUUUUGAUACAUAUUUGGUAUCAUUUUUAUGUUGGAAAAUCUCGUUGCGUCCAUGUUUCAAAAAUCUAGCUAUUUUACUGAGAUGAAGGUGAAAAAUUGCAGGGCAGUCUUCUUCACUAUUUGCACUGGGGUUUUUUUUCUUCUUUUAUGUUUUGCAUGUUUGUCACACUUCAGACCAAUUUAAAUAUAGUCAAAGACAACACAAGUAGGCUUUAACACAAAAUGCAGUUUUUAAUGGAGAAAAAAAAUGCAAACCUACGUGGUCCUGUGUGAAAAAGGUUGUUAUUUUUUUCUCCGUCAAUUCUAACGCCGAGACUGUGUGAAGUUUGAGACCUUAACAUUAACUCCUCCAAAUGUUCACACCACUGUAACUAAAAUAGCUCAGUCUUUGUCUCCUCAGACCACAAAACUUCAGAAGAUGUUAUAGAACAGCAUUGUCUUUCUUGGUCGACAUCUAUUCAUUGAAUAGUAAUGUAAAACUCCCUUUAAUGAAACUGGUGCUCCUGUAAUUUUCAGUUUCAGUUCAGUAAUAUUCUAUUAUUAGCUAGAUAAAGCCUGUUGUCAAGAUGCAACUUGUUAAGGAAUAUUUGACUGUGUGCAUGUUAUUAAGCCCGUGUCUAUAAUUUUGACAAUUUUCAGACAAGAAAAAUAAAACCAAAAGUUGUUCGCAUAUUUAUUUUUUAUAAGGUAUAAUAGUGUGUUCAUAAUCAGCAGUGGUUCUUGCAUGAAUGCUGCACUUCGCACCCACGUGCCCACAACAAUUUUAGUUUAUCAGAAAAACAAAGAUUAAAUAGUUAAUCUAUUUGACACUAGUUUGGUACUUUACAUGUGACACAACUAAAUCAGUAAGUACAUUAGAGAUGAUUAAAUAUGUGUCAGAUUCUUUACAAAAAAACCUGUGAAAUUUCUCUGUAACUUAGUACUAACUUCGAGAGUCAUUGGUCAGCAGUGUGACAACCAUAUUUUAUCGUAGUGCUUCUAUGAUGUGAUGAUGUGAAACAUCAGGGGAUGCUCCUUACAUUACUCACAUAGAAUUGGGGGGAAAAGGGAAGUUGUUUGAAGUGCAGCUGACAAUAUUUUCUUUUCCUCUUUUUAAUGUUAACGUUGCCUGCCUUCAGGUCACACCGUCUAGGUGGGAACAAACGAUUUAAGACAUUGAUGCUAAGAUGAGUGUAUGUAAACUUAAAGACUGGAUCUGAAUUUUGGUUUUAAUGGUGUGAAAUAAGUAAAAAAAAAAAAAAUGUUUCUUCAUUUUCUUCUUUUUUCCCCUUUUACAAUGAGCAGCGUUAACUACUCUGAACCUCUUUUGGAAAGUUUUCCGUCUGAGACGUGGGAGAGUUCCAAUUUUUUUAUGCAAUUGUGCCGUAAGAUUAACAACCGUAGAGUGUGAGCUUGAAAUGAGAUAGUUUAUCUACGAAAAAAAGCAGUGUGUGUUCUUUGACAACAGCAGCAGGUGAAACUUGUGUUUUGAAAAGAAGAGUUUUGUAUUUAUAGUGUUUAUCUGCACUGAGCCAAGAGUGGUAAUGUUUCUUAUUCUAUUAAUGAGAAUUAUAAUAUGCAGGCACUGGAAUAAAAUCAUUUGAAGAGU